CUUCAGCGUUCUGUUUAUUAAUUCCAAAAGCAAUAAAAACAUUUAGGAGCGUUUAAAAAAACAAACCAAAAGCGUUUAAGAAACAUAUAUGUUUGUUAAACAUAUCUUUUAUCUGUCCCGAGGAAGGUUUUUACCAAUUCACUCCUG
rnacentral:rRNA from 1 species